GAUGAACGCUGGCGGCGUGCCUAAUACAUGCAAGUCGAGCGAACAGACGAGGAGCUUGCUCCUUUGACGUUAGCGGCGGACGGGUGAGUAACACGUAGGUAACCUACCUAUAAGACUGGGAUAACUUCGGGAAACCGGAGCUAAUACCGGAUAAUAUUUCGAACCGCAUGGUUCGAUAGUGAAAGAUGGCUUUGCUAUCACUUAUAGAUGGACCUGCGCCGUAUUAGCUAGUUGGUAAGGUAACGGCUUACCAAGGCAACGAUACGUAGCCGACCUGAGAGGGUGAUCGGCCACACUGGAACUGAGACACGGUCCAGACUCCUACGGGAGGCAGCAGUAGGGAAUCUUCCGCAAUGGGCGAAAGCCUGACGGAGCAACGCCGCGUGAGUGAUGAAGGUCUUCGGAUCGUAAAACUCUGUUAUUAGGGAAGAACAAACGUGUAAGUAACGGUGCACGUCUUGACGGUACCUAAGCAGAAAGCCACGGCUAACUACGU
rnacentral:rRNA from 1 species